GGAUGUGAGGGUCAAUUGGCUGCAACAUCUGUCACCCAGGGUUGAUUUGGCUCUCUCGGUGGGUGUCCCCUUCCUCCCUCACAGCUCCAUGUGAGUCCCUCCUGAAGCCGCACAUUCAGUGGAAGAGGACAACCUUCCUUGAUAGAGGAAGAAAUGUUCUUAAGGGUAUGGGAGUAGCUGCUGGAACCCCCCCCCCCCACGCAACCAACAAAAAAAAGGGAACGCCCCCAAUAAACUUGUGAAGCCUCCAAAUGCCUCAUGCCUGCUUUUCUCUAUUU
rnacentral:snRNA from 1 species